AUUGAACGCUGGCGGCAGGCUUAACACAUGCAAGUCGAGCGGCAGCGCGGGGGCAACCCUGGCGGCGAGCGGCGAACGGGUGAGUAACAUAUCGGAACGUACCCAGUAAUGGGGGAUAACUACCCGAAAGGGUAGCUAAUACCGCAUACGCCCUGAGGGGGAAAGCGGGGGAUCGAAAGACCUCGCGUUAUUGGAGCGGCCGAUAUCGGAUUAGCUAGUUGGUGAGGUAAAGGCUCACCAAGGCGACGAUCCGUAGCUGGUCUGAGAGGACGACCAGCCACACUGGAACUGAGACACGGUCCAGACUCCUACGGGAGGCAGCAGUGGGGAAUUUUGGACAAUGGGGGCAACCCUGAUCCAGCCAUUCCGCGUGAGUGAAGAAGGCCUUCGGGUUGUAAAGCUCUUUCGGCAGGAACGAAACGGCGGGCUCUAACAUAGCCUGUCACUGACGGUACCUGUAUAAGAAGCACCGGCUAACUACGUGCCAGCCGCCGCGGUAA
rnacentral:rRNA from 1 species